GACGAACGCUGGCGGCGUGCCUAAUACAUGCAAGUCGAACGCUGCCCCUGUUCCCCUUCGGGGGAAGAGGUGGCAGAGUGGCGGACGGGUGAGUAACACGUGGGGAACCUACCCAGCAGCGGGGGAUAACACUUGGAAACAGGUGCUAAUACCGCAUAGGCCUUUUUUUCGCCUGGAAGAAAGGGAAAAGACGCUUUAAGCGUCACUGCUGGAGGGGCCCGCGGUGCAUUAGCCAGUUGGUGAGGUAACGGCUCACCAAAGCAACGAUGCAUAGCCGACCUGAGAGGGUGAUCGGCCACACUGGGACUGAGACACGACCCAGACUCCUACGGGAGGCAGCAGUAGGGAAUCUUCGGCAAUGGACGCAAGUCUGACCGAGCAACGCCGCGUGAGUGAAGAAGGUUUUCGGAUCGUAAAGCUCUGUUGUCAGCCAAGAACAGGAAGAAGAGGGAAUGCUUUUUCUAUGACGGUAGCUGACCAGAAAGCCACGGCUAACUACGUGCCAGCAGCCGCGGUAAUACGUAGGUGGCAAGCGUUGUCCGGAUUUAUUGGGCGUAAAGGGAGCGCAGGCGGUUCGUUAAGUCUGAUGUGAAAGCCCUCGGCUCAACCGAGGAGGGGCAUUGGAAACUGGCGAACUUGAGUACAGAAGAGGAGAGUGGAAUUCCAUGUGUAGCGGUGAAAUGCGUAGAUAUAUGGAGGAACACCGGUGGCGAAGGCGACUCUCUGGUCUGUGACUGACGCUGAGGCUCGAAAGCGUGGGUAGCAAACAGGAUUAGAUACCCUGGUAGUCCACGCCGUAAACGCUGAGUGCUAAGUGUUGGAGGGUUUCCGCCCUUCAGUGCUGCAGUUAACGCAUUAAGCACUCCGCCUGGGGAGUACGACCGCAAGGUUGAAACUCAAAGGAAUUGACGGGGGCCCGCACAAG
rnacentral:rRNA from 1 species